rnacentral:tRNA from 1 species
GAUAAAAUGGCUGAAGAUAGGCAAUAAAUUGUAAAUUUAUUAAUGAAUAGGGAUUCUUUUAUCA